AUCGCUUCUCGGCCUUUUGGCUAAGAUCAAGUGUAGUAUCUGAAAGUUACCAAUGGUAGGGAAAGGAAGGUCAGGAGGGAACUAGCUUUUCCUGUGCUUUUCACAUCAGAAGACACAAUCAAAAUUAUUUUUCAUCAUACAGCAAAUAUUUAUAGACUUGCUAUGAGUGCUGGGGAUACAGAGAAAGCAAAAAUAAAAACAAAUUUA
rnacentral:snRNA from 1 species